UACGUAGGGUGCAAGCGUUAAUCGGAAUUACUGGGCGUAAAGCGUGCGCAGGCGGUUUUGUAAGUCUGUCGUGAAAUCCCCGGGCUCAACCUGGGAAUUGCGAUGGAGACUGCAAGGCUAGAAUCUGGCAGAGGGGGGUAGAAUUCCACGUGUAGCAGGUGAAAUGCGUAGAGAUGUGGAGGAACACCGAUGGCGAAGGCAGCCCCCUGGGUCAAGAUUGACGCUCAUGCACGAA
rnacentral:rRNA from 1 species